rnacentral:rRNA from 1 species
UACGUAGGGUGCGAGCGUUGUCCGGAAUUAUUGGGCGUAAAGAGCUCGUAGGCGGUUUGUCGCGUCGAAUGUGAAAACCCGGGGCUCAACCCCGGGCCUGCAUUCGAUACGGGCAGGCUAGAGUUCGGUAGGGGAGUCUGGAAUUCCUGGUGUAGCGGUGAAAUGCGCAGAUAUCAGGAGGAACACCGGUGGCGAAGGCGGGACUCUGGGCCGAUACUGACGCUGAGGAGCGAAAGCGUGGGGAGCAAACAGG